rnacentral:rRNA from 1 species
AUUGAACGCCGGCGGCAUGCCUUACACAUGCAAGUCGAACGGCAGCACGGGAGCAAUCCUGGUGGCGAGUGGCGAACGGGUGAGUAAAGUAUCGGAACGUGCCCAGUCGUGGGGGAUAACGUAGCGAAAGUUACGCUAAUACCGCAUACGACCUAUGGAUGAAAGCGGGGGAUCGCAAGACCUCGCGCGAUUGGAGCGGCCGAUAUCAGAUUAGGUAGUUGGUGGGGUAAAGGCUCACCAAGCCGACGAUCUGUAGCUGGUCUGAGAGGACGACCAGCCACACUGGGACUGAGACACGGCCCAGACUCCUACGGGAGGCAGCAGUGGGGAAUUUUGGACAAUGGGCGCAAGCCUGAUCCAGCCAUGCCGCGUGCAGGAUGAAGGCCUUCGGGUUGUAAACUGCUUUUGUACGGAACGAAAAGGUUUGGCCUAAUACGCUGAACUCAUGACGGUACCGUAAGAAUAAGCACCGGCUAACUACGUGCCAGCAGCCGCAGUAAUAC